AAACUUUAAUAGACUUCUUGAAAUUCUGUCGAUCUAGAAAUUAUUCCAAUAGAGCUAUGUCUUUAAUUAUUUCUAUUUUAGAAUUAAAUAAGAAUCUUUCAUAGUUUUAUGUUCAUUUGCCAAAUGUUUAUCAUUCGUCUAUUAUGAGCUAGGCAUAGUGCCUGGCACUGAUAAGGAGGUUAGGCAGUCACAAAAAGGCCCUGUCUUUGUGACUGUACAGUCUAGUCAGGAAGGCAGACAUUAAAUAAAUGAUUGUGAGUGGGGAUGAAUGUCACAGAAGGUAAAGUCAGAGUGCUACAGAAGUGUAUGAGGAUGGGACCAAACAUGGACUAAUGGAUUCAGAAAAGUCCUUCAUGGGCCGGGUUGGAGUGCAGUGGUGCGAUCUCGGCCCACUGCAACUUCCAACUCUCUGGUUCAAACAAUGUCUCCUGCCUCAGCCUCCUGAGUACCUGGAAUUACAGGCACGUGCCACCACGCCCAGCUAAUUUUUGUAUUUUUUUGUAAAGAGAGUGUUUCCCCAUGUUGGCCAGACUGGUCUCAAUCUCCUGACCUUGUGAUUCGCCCACCUCAGCCUCACAAAGUGCCAGGAUUAUAGGUGUGAGCCACCCACCUGGCCAAGACUUCUGCUUUUAAGUUGUAGCAUAGUAAUUGAAUAGAUUGGAUUUGAAGUAGAAUGGCUGAAUGUGAAGAGAACAGAUCACCUUCCUUCACUUCUUUGGUCUCCCAUGGCAGAAAAUACGGUAGUGACAGUGUCCAAGCUUUACAUAUUAGAUCCAGCAUCCAAGCAGUUCUGAAAUCCCUGGAGGGCUCUGACUGGUUUGGCUUAGGUCAGGUGUCCAGCCCUGAAUUUAGAAAAAAAUUAUUUUGCAGGUUAUGAAUACAUUCACAUGAUCUGUUUCAAUGGUGAUCAUUUUUCACUUCAAAUAUUCAAGGAGAUGGAGCCAUCUCUCUGGCAAGAAAAUUGGUUAUAAAAAUAAGUGACACUGGUAUAAGAGAGAUCAAACUCAACUAUUCUCAAGACAGAGAAAGACUCUAUGGUUCUUAACUAAUAUUUACUAGUUAUACUCUUCCAGAUAGAUGGUAUUCUUUCUCAGUAUAUGUUGUUUAGAGUUGACACUGUGGUAGAAUUCAGAAAUGAGUGAUAGGAGUUCUGGUUACUAUUUCUAACUCUUAAAUCACUGCCAUUAAAAUAGAGGUAGUUGUAAAAAUUUAGUAAAAUACUAUUUAUAUAUUUACAGCUACUAAAUUUAUGUUGUUUCUUAAGAAUCAGUGGUUAGACUCAAAUUUAUUUAUAACAUCUAAAUUUAAUUUUAAAAAUCUAUUGAUGUAUAAUGGCUGUGCAUAUUUUGUGGGUACAUAUGGUAUUUUGAUAGCUAUAUAGAAGGUGUAAUGAAGCAAUCAGGGCAAGUGGAAUAUCCAUCACCUCAAACAUUUAUCCUUUUGUGUUUGUGUGGAAUAUUAAUAUUACAAUUCUUUUCUAGCUAUUUUGAAAUACACAAUAAAUUAUUGUUCACUAUAAUUUUCCUACUGUACUAUUAAAUGCUAAAACUUAUUCCUUCUGUAUUUUUGUGUCCCUUAACCAACUUCUCUUCAUCCCCCUCUUCCCUUCCCAGCCUCUGGUAACCACAUUUCACUCUGUCCCCAUGAGAUUUACUUUCUGAGUUCCUGUGUAUGAGUAAGAACAUGUGAUGCCUAAAGUUAAACAUUAUGCUGAAAAGAAAAUAUUUACAUAGACUCCUCCAACUUAUCCCGGUGCUCAUGCAGGUGUUCUCCCUUAAGGAAUGUUUAUCUUUCUGAAUCAGCCAUCACUCUUGCCUUGGCCCUUAUCUUCCCUGAGAGCUAAAUCCAGGCGAAUGAACUGAAGUGAAAGAAGGGAGCGCAGUGUUAUUGGCAAAAUGGUUAUUAAUAGGCAGCAAUGGGACCAAGAUGAAAAUAGUUUUGUGAACUGAGGAGGUGGAGGCUCCUGGCCUCCAUCCAUGAGCUCAGAUAAGUGGAAGCAUCUUCUCUGGAGAGACUGGCAAGGGUGCUGGUUCAGUUUCUGCAGGGUCGGAGAAGGCAGAGACCAUGAUGAUGUGUUGCAGCGACAGGUAGGGCCUUGUGAGCUCACAGUGGGGCAUGGGUCGUUAACGACAAUAUAAAAAGGAGGGUACUUGCUGACAUCUCUUAUUUUCAUCUUUGAUUUUUCUUCUAAUGACUAGCCAUGUCAUACACAUUAAGAAUUGUCAUUUAGGAAAACAGUGACUAUGUAUUUUACAAAUACAAGAUUGAAAAGGCUACAUAUUUCCCUCUUUUGACACUUGUCAUUCUUAUUCAGCUUAUUUGUGUCUGUAGAGUAUGUGUAAUUUUUCCAUGUGCAAAAAUGUUGUUCAUGUGUAAUAGACUGACUUUAUCAUAUAUUUGAGCAAAACUGAAGAAAUAAUAAGCAACAUUGACAUUUGUGCAGAAAUAUAAUAAAUGUGUAACCAUGGUGCUCAUUAUGUUAAAAGCUCAUUUUCUUCUGCUUUCGAAGAAUCGACCUAAUGUGUUUGACAUUUGAAAUAUAAAUAACCCCAGAACUUUGGGGGGCCAAGGUGGGCGGAUCACCUCAGGCCAGUUGUUUGAGAC
ensembl:lncRNA